AACAGGAUUAGAUACCCUGGUAGUCCACGCCGUAAACGAUGUCGACUUGGAGGUUGUUCCCUUGAGGAGUGGCUUCCGGAGCUAACGCGUUAGGUCGACCGCCUGGGGAGUACGGCCGCAAGGUUAAAACUCAAAUGAAUUGACGGGGGCCCGCACAAGCGGUGGAGCAUGUGGUUUAAUUCGAUGCAACGCGAAGAACCUUACCUACUCUUGACAUCCAGAGAACUUAGCAGAGAUGCUUUGGUGCCUUCGGGAACUCUGAGACAGGUGCUGCAUGGCUGUCGUCAGCUCGUGUUGUGAAAUGUUGGGUUAAGUCCCGCAACGAGCGCAACCCUUAUCCUUUGUUGCCAGCGGCUAGGCCGGGAGCUCAAAGGAGACUGCCAGUGAUAAACUGGAGGAAGGUGGGGAUGACGUCAAGUCAUCAUGGCCCUUACGAGUAGGGCUACACACGUGCUACAAUGGCGCAUACAAAGAGAAGCGACCUCGCGAGAGCAAGCGGACCUCAUAAAGUGCGUCGUAGUCCGGAUUGGAGUCUGCAACUCGACUCCAUGAAGUCGGAAUCGCUAGUAAUCGUAGAUCAGAAUGCUACGGUGAAUACGUUCCCGGGCCUUGUACACACCGCCCGUCACACCAUGGGAGUGGGUUGCAAAAGAAGUAGGUAGCUUAACCUCCGGGAGGGCGCUUACCACUUUGUGAUUCAUGACUGGGGUGAAGUCGUAACAAGGUA
rnacentral:rRNA from 1 species